rnacentral:rRNA from 1 species
ACUCCUACGGGAGGCAGCAGUGGGGGAAUAUUGCACAAUGGGGGAAACCCUGAUGCAGCCAUGCCGCGUGUGUGAAGAAGGCCUUCGGUUGUAAAGCACUUUCAGUAGGGAGGAAGGUAGUGUAGUUAACACCUGCAUUAUUUGACGUUACCUACAGAAGAAGCACCGGCUAACUCCGUGCCAGCAGCCGCGGUAAUACGGAGGGGUGCGAGCGUUAAUCGGAAUUACUGGGCGUAAAGCGCAUGCAGGCGGCCUGUUAAGUCAGAUGUGAAAGCCCGGGGGCUUAACCUCGGAAUUGCAUUUGAAACUGGCAGGCUAGAGUCUGUAGAGGGGGUAGAAUUUCAGGUGUAGCGGUGAAAUGCGUAGAGAUCUGAA